GCACCCGUAGCUCAAUGGAUAGAGCACCAGAUUCCGGAUCUGGAGGUUGGUGGUUCGACCCCACUCGGAUGCG
rnacentral:tRNA from 1 species